rnacentral:rRNA from 1 species
UACGAAGGGGGCUAGCGUUGCUCGGAAUUACUGGGCGUAAAGCGCACGUAGGCGGCUUUCUAAGUCGGGGGUGAAAUCCUGGAGCUCAACUCCAGAACUGCCUUCGAUACUGGAGAGCUUGAGUCCGGGAGAGGUGAGUGGAACUGCGAGUGUAGAGGUGAAAUUCGUAGAUAUUCGCAAGAACACCAGUGGCGAAGGCGGCUCACUGGCCCGGUACUGACGCUGAGGUGCGAAAGCGUGGGGAGCAA